AAUCAUGUCUGUUAAGUUGUUAUUGUUGUUGGUUUUUUUCCUUUUUUGGUUUUCAAUUUUUUGACGAUACAGAUACUACUGGAAAAGAUGCAGGCAAUCACCACCAACAUUGUGGCCUUGGAAAAUGAUACUCAAGAUUUCAUGGACAAACUGGAAAAUUUCUGUGAUGUCUGCCCAAAAGAUCGUUGCCAGUCCAUUUUGAAUCGAAAUAAUAACCGCCUGGAGCGAAUGAAGGAAGUUGGAGAUAUGAUUAAGGAGCGAUACGACAAAAUAGACGCCGAGGAGUCUGGUCAGGU